GAGAGCAAAGCUGGCAGGGUUAGGAUGUCACCUGGACCCUGAAUUGUAAGAACAGCCUUUCAUGGUUCACGAUGACACCAAGUUGGGAGGGGUUGCAAGCACUUUGGAGCACAGGAUGAGAAUUCAAAACGACCUUGAUGCAUCGGAUAUUUGGUCUGAAAGCAAUAAGAGCAAAUUCAAUAAAGGGUCCCUUCUGGAGGCA